rnacentral:lncRNA from 1 species
AUGGCGAUAAUUUUCAAAAUUUUAUUACUUCUGUCCCUGUUGUUUGUUUCUGGUUAUGCUCAUAAAGACGCUAAGGGUGAUGCUAAGGGUGAGGCUAAGGAUGAUGCUAAGGGUGAUGAUGCUGCGGUUGAAGCUAAGCUUGAUGCUGAGCUUGAUGCUGAGGAAAAUGCUAAGGGGGAUGAUGCUGCUGAGAAAUCUAAUGAUGCUAAGGUUGAGGCUAAGGGUGAUGCUAAGGGUGAUGCUAAGGGUGAGGCUAAGGGUGAGGCUAAGGGUGAUGAUGCUGCGGUUGAAGGGUGAUGCUAAGGAUGUGCCUAAGGAUGAUGCUAAGGGUGAUGAUGCUGCGGUUGAAGCUAGUCUUGAUGCUGAGCUUGAUGCUGAGGAAAAUGCUAAGGGGGAUGAUGCUGAUGAGAAAUCUAAUGAUGCUAAGGGUGAGGCUAAGGGUAAGGCUAAGGGUGAUGCUAAGGGUGAGGCUAAGGAUAAGGCUAAGGGUGAUGGUAAGGGUGAUGCUAAGGAUGAGGCUAAGGGUGAGGCUAAGGGUGAUGCUGAGGAUGAUGCUAAGGGUGAUGAUGCUGCGGUUGAAGCUAAGCUUGAUGCUGAGCUUGAUGCUGAGGAAAAUGCUAAGGGGGAUGAUGCUGAUGAGAAAUCUAAUGAUGCUAAGGGUGAGGCUAAGGAUAAGGCUAAGGGUGAUGGUGAGGAUGAUGCUAAGGGUGAGGCUAAGGGUGAAGCUAAGGGUGAGGCUAAGGAUGAUGCUAAGGGGGAUGAUGCUGCGGUUGAAGCUAAGCUUGAUGCUGAGCUUGAUGCUGGGGAAAAUGCUAAGGGGGAUGAUGCUGAGACUGAUAAUGUUGAUGCUAAGAAAUCUAAGGAUGAGGCUGUUGCGGUUGAGAAAUCUAGAAAA